GGAGUGGUGGUCCAGUGAUAGAAUUCUUGCUUUCCAUGCAAGAAACCUUGGUUCGAUUCCUGGCCAAUGCA
rnacentral:tRNA from 1 species